rnacentral:pre_miRNA from 1 species
AUAUUACUCCCUCCGUCCGGAAAUACUUGUCAUCAAAAUGAAUAAAAGGGGAUGUAUCUAGACAUAUUUUAGUUCUAGAUACAUCCCUUUUUAUCCAUUUUGAUGACAAGUAUUUCCAGACGGAGGGAGUACUUG